CACUAUCAUCAGGGAACACUAUUGCCAUGAAGGGGUGUACACAAUCUUUAGAGAUCUACAUUUUCUGCUCCAUACACCAGGGGAUGCAUGUUUGUGGGUUGGCCUUUGGAUACAGGCAUUUUCCAGAGGACAAUCCUGCCAAAAAAUGACAGUGUGAGAGUCUCCGGAUCUGUGCUGUCCUUCAGAACACGUCCGGUUUUCUCA